CCUACGGGUGGCAGCAGUAGGGAAUAUUGCUCAAUGGGGGAAACCCUGAAGCAGCAACGCCGCGUGGGGGAUGAAGGUUUUCGGAUUUGAAACUCCUUUUGUUAGAGAAGAUAAUGACGGUAUCUAACGAAUAAGCACCGUCUAACUCCGGGCCAGCAGCCGCGGUAAUACGGAGGGUGCAAGCGUUAUUCGGAAUCACUGGGCGUAAAGAGCGCGUAGGCGGGAUAGCAAGUCAGAUGUGAAAUCCUAUGGCUUAACCAUAGAACUGCAGUUGAAACUGUUAUUCUAGAGUAUGGGAGAGGUAGGUGGAAUGCUUGGUGUAGGGGUAAAAUGCGUAGAGAUCAAGAGGAAUACUCAUUGCGAAGGCGGCAUGCUAGAACACAACUGACGCUGAUGCGCGAAAGUGUGGGGAGCGAACAGGAUUAGAUACCCGAGUAGUC
rnacentral:rRNA from 1 species